rnacentral:lncRNA from 10 species
CGGCCGCGGACUGCGUCCCUGGGGACACUGGAGGGGACUCCAGGGACAGCGUGGGUGGGCCUUUCCCCCGCACGCGCCUCUGUCACUCUCUUUCCGGGCCAGAGCCGGGGCAGCGCUCUAAAUUAAGGUCGACCUCCAGCGCUGGGUGAAGUCUUGAGUCCGCCCGGGAGCCCUAGAAGAGACUGGGGCAGCAUGAAUGUGCUGGAAGAUUAGAGGCUGCUGAUGCUGAAGGAAGGAGAAACGAGGAGGAAGUGUCCCUGUGGACAAGUCAUCUCCCUUCAUUUAAGCCAGGCCAGUAGUCCGGGAGACAUUCUGAAUGAUGCAUUAUCCUAGGCACCAGAAAGUAUCUAACAUUCUCAUGGACAGCAGGGAAAAAUGAGCACAUGAGACAGGGGAAGAUUCCAGCACCUGUGAACAUGUUUGUGCAGGUUUCCAGUCAGUACAUGGAUAUCCCUCAAGCCUUUGAAUCCAGUCUCCUGUGUUGUGAUUGGACCGUUUGUCAUUAGGUUUCCAGUGGCAGAGUAAUGCUGUGGGAGAACUGGCUACGAUGGCCGCAGGAGGUGAAUUAAGUAUUGUUGUGUUUUUAGUAGAACCACUAAAGGAAGAUCUGCAGGCAAGUUGGAUGAGUAUAAGAGCCAAAGAUUGACAAGACUUCCUCAGAUGCUCCUACUGACCAGUGGGGGCACUUCUACAGCUCCCCGAAUAUGUUCUCCCUGCAACCCCCACCACUUUUUAAUUAAAUGGCCAGAACUGCCUUUUUGUAUCAAAACUUAUUUUAGUCUAUCAAUCAAAGGCUUCUAUAGCCCACCUCAUGGCAAAGGAUAUCAGAGAGGUAAAAGAUAAUUGUUUUGACAUAUUUAUUAUCACAACUAGCGACUCUUUCUGCAUUCACAUUGGCUGGUAUGCAGAAAAGGGUGCUUUACAGGAUUCUUGGAAAUGUGUAGUGGAUGCUGGCUCUAGGGGAGGCAGAAUAGAGUGUGGGUUCUGCCAUGGGUCACAUCCGGGUUUUAAUUCUGCCUCUGCCACAUGACCUUGAGCACACUGGAAAACCCUAUUAGAUGUGCAAGAAGGCUUCCCCAUCUGUAAAGGUGGGUGACUUAGCAACUUUAGCAAUGCUUAAGUCACCCGGUUGUUGUGAGUAAUACAUAAGUUAAUGUAUGCUAACUUUCUAGAAAGUUUCCUGGCACAAAGUUGUAUUUAAUAAAUGAUUUUUAAAACAA